AAGGAUAACAGCAAUGAGGCUAGGAACCACAGAUUGUAGUUUCAUGUAAGAUAAAGUCGGUUAUUAGGGUAAUCGAACAAGUGCAACCCAGAUUCUCCAGAAAUAAAUCUUGUCAGAGCAAUCUGAUUUUUUGGAUGGAAUACCAAAGUUAAUAGAUGAAGGUGCUGGCCACUCAUCAAAGACAGUUCCUGCCCUGAACAGCUUAUGAUCUGAGAACACAAGGAAGAAAUGAAGGAUUAGAGAGGACCAAAACCUACACUUCUGGAUCCACCCCCUUUCCAAUAAAAGAUAUCUAGGUCAGAUUCUCAGCUGGUCAUCCAAUCUGGGAAACCAACCAACACCUGAGGAGGUCUGCAAAGCAAUUAAAGAAAUGAAGAACAAUAAAGCACCAGGUCCAGAUGGCAUACCAGCUGAAGUACUGAAAGAGUGGGGAGAAACAUUGACCAACAAGCUUCAUUUGCUGCUCCUCAAAUUCUGGCACACCAAAGAAAUCCCUGCUGACUUGCAUAAUGCUAACAUCACCAUUUUGAAAAAGGGAGACAGGCUGACUGUGGCAACUAUUGAGGCAUUGCCCUCCUCUCCAUCGCUGGGAAUAUUCUUGGUAGAAUCUUACUGAAUUGCCUGUUCCCUCUUGCAGAGGAAGUACUUCCAGGGCCAAUUCAAUCAAGGUGGAUGUAGUCCACUCCCAAUAACACCAUUAAUCUGGGCUUGAAUAGGGACUG